GCCAAACUCGAUCAAAAUAAGAUGAGCCAUUUUCACAUGGCCAUUUAUAUACAUGUUCCAAAACUAACCAAAAACAUAAAAAAGCCUAUACAUGCCAUAAUAUCGAGUUCAAAAAUUUAUCAAAGUACCCAAAAGAUGUCGAUAGUGUGAUAGACUUUGCUGAUGGUCCCCGAGCUCGUAACCAACUUCCAAAAUCUAAAAAUGAAAAGUAAUAUACACACAGUAAGCUAUUUAAGCUUAGUAAGUCAUAAGCAAACCUUAUUCAUUUUCAUUUUUACAUUAAUAUCAACCUACUUUACCGAGCCAACCAAAUCAAAUAUAAGUAAACAUUGAACUCUAUAAAACUUAAUGCACAAAUACUCAAUUUCUUGUAUACUUAGCAUUUUAUAAUUUAAAACUAUGAUAAUAGGCCGAUUUCCUUAUACCACCAAAUGAACAUGCUCACACAUUAUUCAUAUAUCAAUCAACUUUGAAUCAUCAAUUCAAUAUACAACUUACCUUAAAUUUCAUAGCAUGAUAUAAAUACAUACCUGAACAUUACUAAUUCGACUUCACAUUCGGUCAUCACUUAACAUUGCCCGUUGAACCGCUCGGAAUUAAAAAGGAUACACGGAUAGUCGGAAACUCGUACAAUGCCAACGUCCCAGACGUGGUCUUACAUGUAAACACAAGUCGAUGCCAACGUCCCAGACGUGGUCUUACACGAUAACACAUAUCAGAAAUCCUAUGUCAUGACAUAAGUAUCCUAUCUAUUCCUAAGGUUCGUACGGGACUUUCGAACAAUGUAUCUCGAUCGAAUCGAACUCGAAUAUAGCUCAUUUGUUCAAUAUACAUUCGGCCAUACACUAAUAUAUUCACAAAAAUUUCAUCCAACAUGUAACACAUAUAGUAGCAAAUUUAAUGACAUUUAUAUGCUUAUAGAGUUACCUCGGAUAUCGACGGACACAGUCGACUACUCGACUACUUGACUACUUUUGACUUCCCCCGAUCCAAUUCCGU
rnacentral:lncRNA from 1 species